GAUGAACGCUGGCGGCGUGCCUAAUACAUGCAAGUCGAGCGAACAGACGAGGAGCUUGCUCCUCUGACGUUAGCGGCGCACGGGUGAGUAACACGUGGAUAACCUCCUUAUAAGACGGGGAUAAUUUCGGGAAACCGGCGCUAAUACCGGAGAAUAUAUUGAACCGCAUGGUUGAUUGGUGAAAGACGGCGUUGCUGUAACUUCUAGAGGGAUCUGCGCCGCAUUAGCUAGUUGUUGAGGUAACGGCUUAUCAGGGCAACGAUGCGUAGACGACCGGAGAGGGGGGUCGCCGGCCUGAGAGGUGGACCGCGGUCCAUGGUCCUGCGGGAGGCAGCAGUAGGGAACCUUCGGCAGUAGGGGAGAGCUUGACGGAACGGCGGGACGUGAGUGAUAACAGCGUUCGGAUCGUAAUGCUCUGUUACGAGGUGUAAACAACUGUGUAAGGAACUAUACACGGCGUGACGGUACCGGGUAAGGAAGCAACGGCUAACUACGUG
rnacentral:rRNA from 1 species